GCAAAAGUGUUGAAGAGGACAAGUAGAAAAAUGAUGCUUCACAGAGAGAACCAUCACCGGCUGAAAGUGGUUCAAGCCUCUCAUUUUUUGAAAUGCCCCUCUGAGCCCCAUGUCGAAAAUUAGUUUGAAAUGAGUAGACUUGGGCGGAACCUUCCGUUAACAGGUGAGAGUUGAAGCCGUAUGUACGGCUUAAACAGAGUGGAACCGCGCGUGAAAGCGUCUCUGUC
rnacentral:ncRNA from 1 species